rnacentral:rRNA from 1 species
GAUGAACGCUGGCGGCGUGCCUAAUACAUGCAAGUCGAGCGAGCGGACGAGAAGCUUGCUUCUCUGAUGUUAGCGGCGGACGGGUGAGUCACACGUGGAUAACCUACCUAUAAGACUGGGAUAACUUCGGGAAACCGGAGCUAAGACCGGAUAAUAUUUUGAACCGCAUGGUUCAAAAGUGAAAGACGGUCUUGCUGUCACUUAUAGAUGGAUCAGCGCUGCAUUAGCUAGUUGGUAAGGUAACGGCUUACCAAGGCAACGAUGCAUAGCCGACCUGAGAGGGUGAUCGGCCAGACUGGAACUGAGACACGGUCCAGACUCCUACGGGAAGCAGCAGUAGGGAAUCUUCCGCGAUGGGCGAAAGCCUGACGUAGCAACGCCGCGUGAGUGAUGAAGGUCUUCGGAUCGUAAAACUCUGUUAUUAGGGAAGAACAUAUGUUUAAGUAACUGUGCACAUCUUGACGGUACCUAAUCAGAAAGCCACGGCUAACUACGUG